CCGACAACACUGGGAUAGCCUUUCGAAAGAAAGAUUAAUACCGGAUGGCAUAAUUAUUCCGCAUGGGAUAAUUAUUAAAGAAUUUCGGUUGUCGAUGGGGAUGCGUUCCAUUAGGCAGUUGGCGGGGUAACGGCCCACCAAACCUACGAUGGAUAGGGGUUCUGAGAGGAAGGUCCCCCACAUUGGAACUGAGACACGGUCCAAACUCCUACGGGAGGCAGCAGUGAGGAAUAUUGGUCAAUGGACGAGAGUCUGAACCAGCCAAGUAGCGUGAAGGAUGACUGCCCUAUGGGUCGUAAACUUCUUUUAUACGGGAAUAAAGUGAGCCACGUGUGGUUUUUUGUAUGUACCGUAUGAAUAAGGAUCGGCUAACUCCGUGCCAGCAGCCGCGGUAAUACGGAGGAUCCGAGCGUUAUCCGGAUUUAUUGGGUUUAAAGGGAGCGUAGGCGGGUUGUUAAGUCAGUUGUGAAAGUUUGCGGCUCAACCGUAAAAUUGCAGUUGAUACUGGCGACCUUGAGUGCAACAGAGGUAGGCGGAAUUCGUGGUGUAGCGGUGAAAUGCUUAGAUAUCACGAAGAACUCCGAUUGCGAAGGCAGCUUACUGGAUUGUAACUGACGCUGAUGCUCGAAAGUGUGGGUAUCAAACAGGAUUAGAUACCCUGGUAGUCCACACAGUAAACGAAGAAUACUCGCUGUUGGCGAUAUACGGUCAGCGGCC
rnacentral:rRNA from 1 species